AUUGAACGCUGGCGGCAUGACUUAACACAUGCAAGUCGAACGGCAGUCGCGGGAAAGCUUGCUUUCCUGGCGGCGAGUGGCGGACGGGUGAGUAAUACUUAGGAAUCUGCCCACGUAGUCGGGGGGAUAGGCCCGGGGAAAAUCGGAUUAAUACCGCAUAAGCCCUACGGGGGAAGCUAGGGGACCCAGCACCAUAGCCUUUUGCUAACCGAUCAAAGGCAUAAGA
rnacentral:rRNA from 1 species